rnacentral:rRNA from 1 species
AACGCGAAGAACCUUACCAGCCUUUGACAUCCCGGUCGCGGGCACCAGAGAUGGAGCCCUUCAGUUCGGCUGGACAGAGAGACAGGUGCUGCAUGGCUGUCGUCAGCUCGUGCCGUGAGGUGUUGGGUUAAGUCCCGCAACGAGCGCAACCCUUGUCGUGUGUUGGUCCACAAGAUCUCUCACACGAGACCGCCGGUGACAAGCCGGAGGAAGGUGGGAUGACGUCAAGUCAGCAUGGCCCUUACGUCCAGGGCUACACACGUGCUACAAUGGGAUGGACAGCGAGUCGCGAACCCGCGAGGGCAAGCUAAUCUCUCAAAACCAUUCCUCAGUUCGGAUUGAAGGCUGCAACUCGCCUUCAUGAAGUCGGAAUCGCUAGUAACCGCAGAUCAGCUACGCUGCGGUGAAUACGUUCCCGGGCCUUGUACACACCGACUGUAC